rnacentral:rRNA from 1 species
UGCGUAGGCGGAAAAUUAAGUCAGUGGUGAAACCCUGCAGCUUAACUGUAGAACUGUCAUUGAUACUGAUUUUCUUGAAUAUAGUUGAGGUAGGCGGAAUGUGUAAUGUAGCGGUGAAAUGCUUAGAUAUUACACAGAACACCGAUUGCGAAGGCAGCUUACUAAGCUAUUAUUGACGCUGAGGCACGAAAGCGUGGGGAGCGAACAGGAUUAGAUACCCUGGUAGUCC